AAUCUAAACAAUUUUAAUAAACCCUUUUGAAUUCCAAGAAAGAAGAAAGUUGAAAAGAGGAAUAAAAUUAAGGUUCAUGAGAGGGACACACAUGGAUCCAUUGUUUUGCUGGGAUCUAUUUUGUCAAAAGCUAAGCGGGUUUUAAGGUUAAUGGAGUUGACAUUUCCACUGGACGGUGUUCAUAUUCAUAUAUAUCCACUUCCUG
rnacentral:misc_RNA from 1 species